UUGUUUCAGAAUAUCUCAUCAUUGCAGCAUGACAUCUCUGUUUCAGAUUCCGUGUCAUCACUAAGAGUGUUUGGGAGUUUUGUGGAGGAUAUCCCGAGUUGGUUCAACUAUAAGGAAAUGUGCCCAAGUGUAUCAGUCGAUCUGCCUGAGAAUUGGUAUGAAUCGGAUAAGUUCUUGGGGUUUGCUGUAUGUUAUUCUAGUGAAUAUUAUAUUGAUUACAUCACAACCGAUUUGAUUCCCUUAUCAUGUGAUGAUGGGAUGCCGUCGAUGACCCAGGAAUUUGCCUUAUCCAACAAUUCAGAAUUAGACGAUCCUGAUGCAUGUAAUAUUAAUUUUUUGUUGGUACCUCUUGAUGGCUUAUGGGAUGCAUCUAAUGCAAAUGGAAAAACACCAAAUGACUAUGGGUGCAUUGAGUUUGAUUUUAUUAGUGAUAUAGAUGAUGAUUUUGGAGAAACAGAUGAUGAUUCUGGAGAAAAGAUGAAAUUUGGAGUUCGUUUGUUGUAUAAAGAUGAAUCCGAGCCUUGCAUUGGGAUAAGGAAGAGCAGAGAUGAAGAAGAGGCCACUUGCUCCUCUUCUAAGAAACAAAGGCAACUCUUGCCCACAAGCUCGGGAUUAUAGAUCAAAUAAAGGUGAUGUACGUAUCAGUAAUCAGCAGCGAGUUUGGGGACACUGCCUAUGAAGGGAACAUAGUACGUACAAUUUGGAAGCUUUGGAAUCCAAUGGAGCUCAAAUAAUUUCUCCCCAACCAUCAAGUUCUACUGAAGUUGCAUAGUCUCCGUUGAUAUCUACUGUAAAAUGUACUAACAUUCUUUUUCUUUUUUAACAAGUGCAAGAAACACAUUUUAUUAAUUAAUCAUCUCUGAAAUUAAUGUAAUCUAAGAAAAGAAACACUGCUAGACCAUUGGCUGUAAAUCCCCCUAUUAAUAUUCUCAUUUCUUGUUCAAUGUAUUGCCAAUGUCUAGCACGAAAUGAUAUUUCACAUCCGAUUUCAGAAGA